rnacentral:lncRNA from 1 species
UUGGGUUUGAAGCAUGGACUAAGAUCAAUAAUGAUGCAUAUAGGUCAGUGUUCUUCAGCUUUCCUUGAAGUGCAGUUCCAAGUUGGUUACCUUACCGUUGCCAAUUAGUAACCAUGGAAAAAAAUUCUGCAUUUUUUUAGGUGAAAACAGGGUCGUUGGAUUGGCUGCGUGUGUCAUUUUUAGAGGUGUAGAUAUGGAAGAUACAGAAACAUGAGUGUAUUUUGUCCAAGAUGACACGUUCCUAUGGAAAUAUCAAUUGGACUUCACAAACCUUGGCAACGAGCUCUUUCAUGCUCACAACUUCACUUUAGAGAUCCAAGAAGACAAAUCUCAUCUCUCAAGUUUUAGAUCAACCGGUACAGUAACUUUUAGAUCAACCGAAACAGUGAAUGAAUGUGGAAUAUGUCCUCUGUAUACCAUACAAAGCGAAGAAAUGGUCUGAGAUAUUUAUAAAAUGUCAUUGAAGGACCGAGUGGAGCAAACCUGCAUCAUAAUUAUGUUUUGUAUGAAAACAAACAAAAGAAGAUGGAUGCAUGGCUAUUAGUUACAG